UUUACAUGGUGCACAGUAAACGGCACCGGUGCUACAGAAGUAUGUUAGGAAAUCACGCAAAGUUGUUUCACCACUUAAAAAGUUUACGGACUUCCAGCCCCAUCUUCAGAGGCACCUUAUGGUGUAACACAUCACUUUGGUGAAGUUAUGUGUUGCAAAAUGUCUUUAGUAUUGAAGAACAAUGACUGCUACCAUGAAAAGGUUUUUAAUUUGAAUAGUAUGAUUUAAUGAUAGUAAGAGCCUUCCUUCCUCUAAUCCGAUAGUGGUAGAAAUUUCAUAUUAAAAUGUAAUGGUCAACAAUUUGAAAUGGUCAACAAUUUGAAAUCAUGUAAUUUGAUUGAACAGUGAUGAAUAUUACUGAGAGACGAUUUCAUUGAAUGGUGACAUAGAAAAUUAAUUUUAAAUAAAGUUCUUAGUUUUUGGUAUGUUGAAUACUCUAGUUCUAGAUCUUUUCAUAAAUUAAUAACACAACAACUAUUGGUUUUUGAAUUUUUUUUUCGAGUUGAACCAAUUAAAUACAGAAUUUCAUACAUGAUUUGUUUUUCCUUUUUAAGUCAUUACAAUACUUUUGACUGCUUCACUGAUGAGUGCAAACAUGACAUACAACUUGAACUAACAGAAACAGUGUGACCAAGAGCUAAAUUGGCAGGCACAGGUGCCCCAGUAUAAAUAAAGAUGUGACAAUGGCGUUUUACAACUAUUUACUGAAACAUUGACAUUAAAAAUCUUAUAAGUAAAAGUUGAAAGUUUACAAAUGUUUCACUAUAAUGUUAUGUUUUGCAACAUGAAAGAAAAUUUUUGACAUAAAUCCAAUUUUGACAAAUGUUGGAUUUCUAUAAAAAAAAUAGCACACAAUAUAGUUUUUAACAAUUAGUUCCACAAAACUUCACAAUUAGUUACCUAUUUUUGUGCCAAACAUUUGUACAAGGUCUCAUAUAGAAGUUGUACACUUUAGCUCAGUUGAUUGUGCAAUAUACAACUGAAUACAACUAAAAUUACAAUGUAAGUAAGUGAAUAAAUAAAAAAAAAAGCUACUCAUCAGUUGGUGGUAAGAGAACAUACAUAUAAAAAGUAUUUCAGUUUGCAAACUUUUGGGGCCAAGUGCUCCUUCUUGUGGCAGAAGGGUCGAAGGGGAAGGAAGAGGGAAAAGGACUGGUGUGGUUUAGGAAAAUGGGUAGAGUUCAGCAAAGUCCACCAGAACCCCAGGUCAGGGUAGACUUACCUGACUUCUCAUCCCGUCCAGUAAGUCUCUUCUGAUCCAUGAUUCCCCUACAACCCUUCUGCCAGAAGAAGAAGCCACUGGCUCCAAAAGCUUGCAAACUGUAAUACCUUUUAUAAGUGUGCUUCCCUGCGCCGCUUGUGAGUACAUUUUUUUAUCCAUCUAAUUAAUUAUAUUAUCAAAAAAUAGAUUAUUUUUGUUGAUAUAGAAUUACAGGAUGGAUUAUAAGAAUCUAUGAUGCAGUAAAUUUAUAUGGAAGUAGCUGUACUGUAAAAUAAAAGAAUACUACUUUAGUUAAUUAUGGACUCAUGUAACAUUAAACAAUGAGUUUAAAAAGUGUACACUGCAGCUAUGAAACAUUUCCAUGAUCACAAUGAGGGAUUAAGUAGAAUGAGUUUUCCCUCUGUGGCAGAGUGUGCACUGCUCUGAAACUUUCUGGCAGAUUAAAACUGUGUGCCGGACCGAGACUAGACUCGGGACCUUUGCCUUUCGUGGGCAAGUGCUCUACAACUGAGCUUACCAAGUACAACUCACAACCCUCUCUCACGGAGCACUUGCCUGCAAAAGGCAUAGGUCCCCAGUUUGAAUCUCAGUCUGGCACAAAAUUUUAAUCUGGCAGAAAGUUUCAUGUAUUAGGCACUUCACAGAACAUAAGGUUUGAGUACUAGACUAACCUGUUACAUUACAGGUGUUACUUAUCACUUAAAUUUUUAAAGAAGAUUACAUCACAAUGGUUGCUGGAGGUAGAUGCAGUUCAAAACGGGGCUACCUUCUAGCAUGAAAAACGCUAUAUGAAACAAGUCAAUGCAUAUAAGUCAGUGCCAGAAUCAUUUUGGUGUAUGAUAUAUGUCAAUAGGAAUGUUUUUGCUCCAGUUAACUAUCUGUGAAACCUGCCAACAAUAACAAAUUAUUUAACGUAAAUCUGCUGGCUAAAUCUCAUUACACAUUUUAAGACCAACAACUGUUUGUAACAUUUGUUAUGUUACAUUAGCUGGCUGGUGUGGCUGAGCAUUCUAGGUGGUUCAGUCUGGAUCCACGCGACCGCUAUGGUUGCAGGUUUGAAUCCUGCCUCAGGCAUGGGUGUGUGUGAUGUCCUUAGGUUAGUUAGUUUUAAGUAGUUCUAUGUUCUAGGGGAUUGAUGACCUCAGAUGUUAAGUCCCAUAGUGCUCAGAGCCAUUUGAACCAUUUGUGCUAACAUUAUCAAAAUUAUAUAUUUCAGAAGCUCCAUUUAUUCCAUAUACUUCAGUAUAAUUUCAUGAGAUAUAUUACAUGACUCAUUCUGGGAAAAGAUUACAUUUGUGUUUGUAAAACAUACACGUAAGUGUUUUCCUAAGUCACUAUUGUACGUCCUUGAAUAGUUUUAAACAAGACUUUUAAGUUUCCUGACCUGUUAAUAGGGUUCCUCAGACGCCAUUGUCUUCUUAAAAUAACUGUUUAUUGCUACCAGAUGUUUUGAGAGAACUUUGAGUAACUUUACGCAAUGCUUUCAAAGCAGAUUUUCAUUUUAUGCUAUUUUAUUUUUGCUGCUUAUAUCAACGAUGAUCAUAGUUUGCCUCCCCCCCCUUUUUUCCACUAAAUUGCUUAAGGCAAAUGCCAGGAUGGUUCCUUCAAAAGGGCAUGGUCGCUUUCCUUCCCCAUCCUUUCCUAAUCUGAGCUUGUGCUCCGUCUCAACCUUGUUGUCAACAGGACGUUAGAACACUAAUCUCCUCCUCCUCUUCCCAUUGAAACUUAAUAUUAGUGACUGAACAUGACAAAAUCUCUGUGAUGACUGACUGCAUUAUGUUUACUUUAUGAAAGCACCACCAGGACUAACUCACAUUAUGAAUGUUGGCUGCAGAUUCAGUACAUGAAAUUAACUUGUAAUUUCUUAGCGCAGGCUGUGAACAAUAUUUAAAGGAAUUGAAAGAAGACUAACUGAUUGUGGCUUUGUGCACAGUGCCUAUUUAAAGACUACUGCAAGAUUGUUUUUGCAAAAUGAUGACAUAUACUAAAUUUUCAGUAGUAGCAUAUCAGUCAGGAAAAGUACAGAUAACAUACAUACAUUAGGCAGUGAAGUUACUUUAAUUAACAACUGAUUGAAUAACUUCAAAAUAGACCAGUUACUAUGCACUACUUUUAUAAGCGUAAAUUUGGAUUUUCGCUUUUAGACAGGAGAC